GGAGGAGGAAUAAUUGUCUGGGGCUGUUUUUCAUGGUUCAGGCUCCAUAGUUCCAGUGAAAGGAAAUCUUAAAGCUGCAGCAGCCUCAACACACUUACUUCUGCAACUAUGUCUAGUUGGUCAGAAAAGUAUGGUGCUACAGAGACAGCCUGGUCCAAGUACCUCCAGAGCCUUCUGACCAACUUCCUGCGAUCUCUCCAGAGCACAGAGAAGUGAGACUGCUGGACUCUGGAACUCUGGAGCAGCAUCAAACCUGCCACCCUGUUGUCAGCUAUCCGCAGGCUUUCAAUGGCCACAUUUUGGGGAUGACCAAAUGCAAUAGUUUUGUAUGAACAAGUCAUUUACAUUGUUUUAUUUUAAGAUAACAAAACACAAACUUUUUCAUAGCAUGUUUGUCAUGUUGGUCUUCACAUUUUUACUAACUUUUGUGAUUACUUAAACAUCCAGACAAAUAUACUUAGAGUAUGAUUUAAAAAGUCUAAAAUAAAUUCAAGUGUCUACAGUGAA